rnacentral:rRNA from 1 species
GUGCCAGCAGCCGCGGUAAUAUGUAGGGGGCAAGCGUUGUCCGGAAUUAUUGGGCGUAAAGCGCGCGCAGGCGGUCUUUUAAGUCUGAUGUGAAAUCUCGUGGCUUAACCGCGAGCGGCCAUUGGAAACUGGAGAACUUGAGUACAGAAGAGGAGAGUGGAAUUCCACGUGUAGCGGUGAAAUGCGUAGAUAUGUGGAGGAACACCAGUGGCGAAGGCGACUCUCUGGUCUGUAACUGACGCUGAGGCGCGAAAGCGUGGGGAGCGAACAGGAUUAGAUACCCCCGUAGUCC